AGUUAAAACGCUCGUAGUCGGAUUUCGGGGCGGGGCCGCCGGCCUGCCGAUGGGUAUGCACUGGCGGGCGCGUCCUUCCUUCCGGAGACUGGCCCUACUCUUAACUGAGCGGGGUCGGGAGUCGGAUCGUUUACUUUGAAAAAAUCAGAGUGUUUCAAGCAGGCAGCUCGCUCUUGCAUGGAUUAGCAUGGGAUAAUGAAAUAGGACUUUGGUGCUAUUUUGUUGGUUUCGAACACCGAAGUAAUGAUUAACAGGGACAGUCAGGGGCACUCGUAUUCCGCCGAGAGAGGUGAAAUUCUCAGACCAGCGGAAGACGAACCACUGCGAAAGCAUUUGCCAGGGAUGUUUUCACUGAUCAAGAACGAAAGUUAGGGGAUCGAAGACGAUCAGAUACCGUCGUAGUCUUAACCAUAAACCAUGCCGACUAGGGAUCGGCGGAAGUCCUUUUUGACUCCGUCGGCACCUUAUGGGAAACUAUAGUCUUUGGGUUCCGGGGGGAGUAUGGUC
rnacentral:rRNA from 1 species